rnacentral:rRNA from 1 species
UUCCACUGAAAGCAAGCAGUUGUCAGAACUCACAAGCUAAGCACUGUCAGACCUGGUCAGUAUUGAGAUGGGAGAUCUCCAAGGCAAAUUAAGGUC